GAGAGUUAAAAAGUACGUGAAACCGUUGAAAGGGAAGCGAAUGGAGUUAGCAAUUCGCCGGUCAGAUUCAGCCGCUCGUGUGCCGCGACGUGCGCGCUCUCGAUCCGCACGGACGAGACGUGCGCGGGUGCGGCGUUCGGACUGCGCACUUCUGGCCGGCGAGCGUCAGCGUCGGUUGUCGUCGAGCGAAAAGGUCGCGGGAAAGGUAGACGGGCCGUUCGCGGCCCGUUGUUAAGCCCCGCGCUCGCACGGCUCGACGGCGACCGAGGUCAUCCUAUUCUYCWGGCGACGCGUGCUCACSCUGGCGACCCRUUCGAUCGGUCCGACACGUCGAUCGUGGCGGACGGCACGCCUGUGCGCUCAAACUGCUGCCGGUCGAUCGUGCGGKGUUYGUACACUMCGCKUCCAAGMUGSUGACGACCAUMCUGMUCUAUCCACCCGUCUWGAAACACGGACCAAGGAGUSUMACAUGUGCGCGAGUCUCCGGGUGAUYGAAACCMGYGGGCMCRACSAAAGCAAAGGUCGWCUCGGACGGCCGAGGUGAGAAGCCACCGCAUUUUGUGGCCGCAUCAUCGACCGACCUAUUCUGCUCUCAGAAAGGUUUGAGUAAGAGCGUAUCUGUUGGGACCCGAAAGAUGGUGAACUAUGCCUGAAUAGGGUGAAGCCAGCGGAAACACUGGUGGAAGCUCGUAGCGAUUCUGACGUGCAAAUCGAUCGUCGAAUUUGGGUAUAGCGGCGAAAGACUAAUCGAACCAUCUAGUAGCUGGUUCCCUCCGAAGUUUCCCUCCGGAUAG
rnacentral:rRNA from 1 species